rnacentral:rRNA from 1 species
GAUGAACGCUGGCGGCGUGCUUAACACAUGCAAGUCGAACGGAAAGGCUCCUGCUUGCAGGGGUACUCGAGUGGCGAACGGGUGAGUAACACGUGGGUGAUCUGCCCUGCACUUCGGGAUAAGCCUGGGAAACUGGGUCUAAUACCGGAUAGGACCACAUUUUGGAUGGUGUGGUGGAAAGUUUUUCGGUGUGGGAUGAGCUCGCGGCCUAUCAGCUUGUUGGUGGGGUAAUGGCCUACCAAGGCGUCGACGGGUAGCCGGCCUGAGAGGGUGUACGGCCACAUUGGGACUGAGAUACGGCCCAGACUCCUACGGGAGGCAGCAGUGGGGAAUAUUGCACAAUGGGCGCAAGCCUGAUGCAGCGACGCCGCGUGGGGGAUGACGGCCUUCGGGUUGUAAACUCCUUUCGCUAGUGACGAAGCGCAAGUGACGGUACCUGGAGAAGAAGCACCGGCUAACUACGUG